rfam:Mus musculus chromosome 7, GRC primary reference assembly.
UCAUCAGUCAGGCUGCUGGCUAUACACCAGGACUUAUCUGGUCCUGGAUAUAACCACUGCCAGACUGAAAG